UGAGGAAUAUUGGUCAAUGGACGAGAGUCUGAACCAGCCAAGUAGCGUGAAGGAUGAAGGUUCUAUGGAUUGUAAACUUCUUUUAUACGGGAAUAAACGAAUCCACGUGUGGAUUUUUGCAUGUACCGUAUGAAUAAGGAUCGGCUAACUCCGUGCCAGCAGCCGCGGUAAUACGGAGGAUCCGAGCGUUAUCCGGAUUUAUUGGGUUUAAAGGGAGCGUAGAUGGGUUGUUAAGUCAGUUGUGAAAGUUUGCGGCUCAACCGUAAAAUUGCAAUUGAUACUGGCAGUCUUGAGUACAGUUGAGGUAGGCGGAAUUCGUGGUGUAGCGGUGAAAUGCUUAGAUAUCACGAAGAACUCCGAUUGCGAAGGCAGCUUACUAACCUGUAACUGACAUUGAUGCUCGAAAGUGUGGGUAUCAAACAGG
rnacentral:rRNA from 1 species